CCCCUAGUAACUGCGAGUGAAGCGGGAAAAGCUCAAAUUUAAAAUCUGGCGGUCUUUGGCCGUCCGAGUUGUAGUCUGGAGAAGUGCUUUCCGCGCUGGACCGUGUAUAAGUCUCUUGGAACAGAGCGUCAUAGAGGGUGAGAAUCCCGUCUUUGACACGGACUACCAGUGCUUUGUGAUGCGCUCUCAAAGAGUCGAGUUGUUUGGGAAUGCAGCUCAAAAUGGGUGGUGAAUUCCAUCUAAAGCUAAAUAUUGGCGAGAGACCGAUAGCGAACAAGUACCGUGAGGGAAAGAUGAAAAGCACUUUGGAAAGAGAGUUAAACAGUACGUGAAAUUGCUGAAAGGGAAACGCUUGAAGUCAGUCGCGUUGUCUGGGACUCAGCCUUGCUUUUGCUUGGUGCACUUUCCGGAUGACGGGCCAGCAUCGAUUUUGACCGUCGGAAAAGGGCUAGGGUAAUGUGGCACCUCCGGGUGUGUUAUAGACUUUAGUCGCAUACGGCGGUCGGGAUCGAGGAACGCAGCGCGCCGUAAGGCAGGGGUUCGCCCACUUUCGCGCUUAGGAUGCUGGCGUAAUGGCUUUAAACGACCCGUCUUGAAACACGGACCAAGGAGUCUAACAUACCUGCGAGUGUUUGGGUGGAAAACCCGAGCGCGUAAUGAAAGUGAAAGUUGAGACCUCUGUCGUGGAGGGCAUCGACGCCCGGACCUGACGUUCUCUGACGGAUCCGCGGUAGAGCAUGUAUGUUGGGACCCGAAAGAUGGUGAACUAUGCCUGAAUAGGGUGAAGCCAGAGGAAACUCUGGUGGAGGCUCGUAGCGAUUCUGACGUGCAAAUCGAUCGUCAAAUUUGGGUAUAGGGGCGAAAGACUAAUCGAA
rnacentral:rRNA from 6 species